rnacentral:rRNA from 1 species
CCUACGGGAGGCAGCAGUGGGGGAUAUUGGACAAUGGGGGGAACCCUGAUCCAGCGACGCCGCGUGAGUGAAGAAGUAUUUCGGUAUGUAAAGCUCUGUCAGCAGGGAAGAAAAAAAUGACGGUACCUGACCAAGAAGCGCCUGCUAACUACGCGCCAGCAGCCGCGGUAAUACGUAGGGGGCAAGCGUUCUCCGGAAUUACUGGGUGUAAAGGGGGCGUAGACGGUUAAGGAAGUCUGGAGUGAAAGGCAGGGGCGCAACCCCGGGACUGCUCUGGAAACUAUUGAACUUGAGUGCAGUAGAGGUAGGCGGAAUUCCUAGUGUAGCGGUGAAAUGCGUAGAUAUUAGGAGGAACACCAGUGGCGAAGGCGGCUUACUGGACUGUAACUGACGUUGAGGCUCGAAAGCGUGGGGAGCAAACAGGAUUAGAUACCCGAGUAGUC